GUUGGGUAGGGGAGCGUUCUGUAAGCCUGCGAAGGUGUACUGUGAGGUAUGCUGGAGGUAUCAGAAGUGCGAAUGCUGACAUAAGUAACGAUAAUGCGGGUGAAAAACCCGCACGCCGGAAGACCAAGGGUUCCUGUCCAACGUUAAUCGGGGCAGGGUGAGUCGACCCCUAAGGCGAGGCUGAAAAGCGUAGUCGAUGGGAAACGGGUUAAUAUUCCCGUACUGGUGGUAACUGCGAUGGGGGAACGGAGAAGGCUAGGUUGUCCGGGCGACGGUCGUCCCGGUUCAAGCAGGUAGGCAGAGUGAUUAGGCAAAUCCGGUCACUUAAUGCUGAGAUGUGAUGACGAACCACCAAGGUGGUGAAGCAAUUGAUGCCCCGCUUCCAGGAAAAGCCUCUAAGCUUCAGGUUACCAACAAUCGUACCCCAAACCGACACAGGUGGUCAGGUAGAGAAUACUCAGGCGCUUGAGAGAACUCGGGUGAAGGAACUAGGCAAAAUGGUGCCGUAACUUCGGGAGAAGGCACGCUGGCGGUAGGUAAAGUCCCUCGCGGACAGAGCUGAAGCCAGUCGAAGAUACCAGCUGGCUGCAACUGUUUAUUAAAAACACAGCACUGUGCAAACACGAAAGUGGACGUAUACGGUGUGACGCCUGCCCGGUGCUGGAAGGUUAAUUGAUGGGGUCAGCCGCAAGGCGAAGCUCCUGAUCGAAGCCCCAGUAAACGGCGGCCGUAACUAUAACGGUCCUAAGGUAGCGAAAUUCCUUGUCGGGUAAGUUCCGACCUGCACGAAUGGCGUAAUGAUGGCCAGGCUGUCUCCACCCGAGACUCAGUGAAAUUGAACUCGCUGUGAAGAUGCAGUGUACCCGCGGCAAGACGGAAAGACCCCGUGAACCUUUACUAUAGCUUGACACUGAACAUUGAGCCUUGAUGUGUAGGAUAGGUGGGAGGCUUUGAAGUGUGGACGCCAGUCUGCAUGGAGCCAACCUUGAAAUACCACCCUUUAACGUUUGAUGUUCUAACCUAGGCCCAUAAACUGGGUCGGGGACCGUGUCUGGUGGGUAGUUUGACUGGGGCGGUCUCCUCCUAAAGAGUAACGGAGGAGCACGAAGGUUGGCUAAGCAUGGUCGGACAUCAUGCGGUUAGUGCAAAGGCAUAAGCCAGCUUGACUGCGAGAGUGACGGCUCGAGCAGGUACGAAAGUAGGUCUUAGUGAUCCGGUGGUUCUGAAUGGAAGGGCCAUCGCUCAACGGAUAAAAGGUACUCCGGGGAUAACAGGCUGAUACCGCCCAAGAGUUCAUAUCGACGGCGGUGUUUGGCACCUCGAUGUCGGCUCAUCACAUCCUGGGGCUGAAGUAGGUCCCAAGGGUAUGGCUGUUCGCCAUUUAAAGUGGUACGCGAGCUGGGUUUAGAACGUCGUGAGACAGUUCGGUCCCUAUCUGCCGUGGGCGUUGGAAGAUUGAGAGGGGUUGCUCCUAGUACGAGAGGACCGGAGUGAACGCACCACUGGUGUUCGGGUUGUCAUGCCAAUGGCAUUGCCCGGUAGCUAAGUGCGGAAGAGAUAACCGCUGAAAGCAUCUAAGCGGGAAACUUGCCUCGAGAUGAGUCUUCCCUGUCGCUUUAAGCGACCUAAAGGAACGUUUAAGACUAAGACGUUGAUAGGCUGGGUGUGUAAGCGUAGCGAUACGUUGAGCUAACCAGUACUAAUGAACCGUGAGGCUUAACCUG
rnacentral:rRNA from 1 species